GAUGAACGCUAGCGGCAGGCUUAACACAUGCAAGUCGAGGGGUAGAGGAAGCUUGCUUCCUUGAGACCGGCGCACGGGUGCGUAACGCGUAUGCAACCUACCUUUUACAGAGGGAUAGCCCAGAGAAAUUUGGAUUAAUACCUCAUGGUAUAUAUCAUUCGCAUGUUUGAUAUAUUAAAGUUCCAACAGUAAAAGAUGGGCAUGCGUCCUAUUAGCUAGAUGGUAAGGUAACGGCUUACCAUGGCAACGAUAGGUAGGGGUCCUGAGAGGGAGAUCCCCCACACUGGUACGGAGACACGGACCAGACUCCUACGGGAGGCAGCAGUGAGGAAUAUUGGACAAUGGGCGCAAGCCUGAUCCAGCCAUGCCGCGUGCAGGAAGAAGCAUCUAUGGUGCGUAAACUGCUUUUGUACGGGAAGGAACACUCCUUCGUGAAGGAGCUUGACGGUACCGUAAGAAUAAGGAUCGGCUAACUCCGUGCCAGCCGCCGCCGUAAUAC
rnacentral:rRNA from 1 species